rnacentral:lncRNA from 1 species
GUGAUACCCUAGGCCAGGUAAUCUCCAGCAUCAGUGUUGCUGAAGUGAUGGAAGCAGCUGAUUCUGUGGGAAGAACAAGAUUUGAUAGAAGGUCUCGGUUGACUGCAAAAAGGAGAAGGGAGGAGCGAGUGGAAGGGGGGUCAGAUCCUGCCAGGGUUUCCUGGGAAAUGAGGUGAGUGGUGAUGUCUUUCAGCACUCAUAAACCUGGAGAUACAAGCCCUCCCCUGAUCUUCCCUGCACCCUUUGGGUG